GACGAACGCUGGCGGCGUGCCUAAUACAUGCCAGUUGAGCGCUGAAGGUUGGUACUUGUACCGACUGGAUGAGCAGCGAACGGGUGAGUAACGCGUGGGGAAUCUGCCUUUGAGCGGGGGACAACAUUUGGAAACGAAUGCUAAUACCGCAUAAAAACUUUAAACACAAGUUUUAAGUUUGAAAGAUGCAAUUGCAUCACUCAAAGAUGAUCCCGCGUUGUAUUAGCUAGUUGGUGAGGUAAAGGCUCACCAAGGCGAUGAUACAUAGCCGACCUGAGAGGGUGAUCGGCCACAUUGGGACUGGGACACGGCCCAAACUCCUACGGGAGGCAGCAGUAGGGAAUCUUCGGCCAUGGACGAAAGUCUGACCGAGCAACGCCGCGUGAGUGAAGAAGGUUUUCGGAUCGUAAAACUCUGUUGGUAGAGAAGAACGUUGGUGAGAGUGGAAAGCUCAUCAAGUGACGGUAACUACCCAGAAAGGGACGGCUAACUACGUG
rnacentral:rRNA from 1 species